AAAAAAGAGUAAUGCUAAGUAGACCAAUUUUUUAUACUAAAUUUGCAAAUUAAUUGAUGUGUCACUAAUAUGAAAUAAACACGUUAAUCAACCUUAAGUAAUAGCCCAAUCAUCAACAACUAUGUUAUGUGGUUUAUGAAAUUUAAUUUAAAAUUUUGGUCUCCCUAACAUUACCCUAGAAAAUUAAAGUCUUGGUUCUUAAACUUUCAAAAGCAAUAAUAUAUUUUUUUCCAGUUUUAAUUGACAACUCACAGAUACACUCCUAAAAGAAACUAUAGCCUACAUCAAAUUAUCUCAAACGUAUCUCUAAGCCAAUUAAACAGGCAAGCAAUCCUUGUUUAUGUGACUUAUUAGGUAUAGGGUAUGACAACUACAGCUACUGCAACUCCCCAUAACCACCGGAUUCGAGCUGAUUUGAGACCAACUGCACAGAAAGUAAAUAUCUGUGAAGUAGAGAACUCAAUUUUGACAGAGAUUUCAUUUUGUUUUUCAAAAAGGUAAAUGAUAAAUCUAACAUUACAUAAUUUUUUCAUACAGUGAUGUUAACAAUGUAAUAACAGUGUAGUAACAAUGGAAUUGCAAUGUGUUAGCAGUUGAAGGGGGAAAAAAACUAGAGAUUAGCAUGCAUAUACUUUAAAAUAAAACCAUGACAACGGAAUCAAUUACAAAUUACUAAUCAAAUUAAAUUUCUUUCAAAAUGUAUAGGCUUAGUGGUUUUUUUGUUUUUUUGUUUUUUUUUUUACAGGAAACGAUGGUGUAUUUCAUUAAUCAACAUGAACCAUUAUAAGGGUGUCAUUGGGUACAUGGCUUCAGUGACCAAUAAAUUGAUCUGAAGUGAAUUACA
rnacentral:lncRNA from 1 species